UCAGACAGAAUCUUAUCUGCAAAAUACUAAAAACAACAAGAAGUCCCAACUGAAUGGUUUGUCACAACGUGAGAAUGUGCACCAGUGUCAAAAGGAAGGAGUGCAGUUAGUGCAGGAUAGGCAAAGCAAAAAAUAAUUUAUGAUAUACAGCUUUUAUAUUAAUCUUCCCCAGCUUGGUGUCCUGCAGCCCCAGCAACCAUUGCCAAUAGUCAGAGAUGAUGAGAGCAGUAAUCCAAUACAUAUGGAGGGCACCAGGCUGGGGAAGGCUGUUUUAUGUACUUCUGGAAUGCAACAUAUCAGGCACAUACAGUAAUAGGAUUUGUUUGAGUUUGUUGGAAGUAUUUGUUCAUGCUGACAUUUGUAUAAAUGUGGCACAAUCUGGUCCCACCCACAGUGACAAUGACCGCACAUGCAUUCCUGUAGGGCUCAACAGAGCCUUGCUUCCCCCGCUGGUGUGCUUGCAAUCAGCACAACCUGCUAUUAAAGGGAACUAGCAGCUGUUAUAGGGAACCAACAGACAAACAAACAACUUUCCAAAAUAUACAGUAGAUUGUAAGGAUUACUGAGAUGUGUUGUUAUUUAGUACUCCUGGUGUGAUAGAGAACAUUGAAAUUAUAUAGCCCUUCUAUGUGUCAGAUGGAGAUAAAAGAAAUUAAUGUGGUUAAAGAAGAUGAGAUGGGAAACCAAUAAUUUUAAAAUGACUCUCUCUGGGCAGUGAAAAGUAGCAUCCUGCAAGAAGCUGAUAACAUGAUAACAGAGGGGGAAAUACAGCUCUUUGUCCUGUGAUAGAAAAUAAACUUUCCUAAGAUUAAGUCACAGUAUAUCAGCCUGUUCUACAGCCACUGACUUAGCAUAUUUUCUUAAAGGAAGGAGGGUCAUUUUUAAUAAUAUUAAUGGCUUCAAGUGCACUUUUUUGUAUUGCUGAAAUUUCCUACAGCAGUUUCCUGCCAGCUCAUAAUAGCCUUGUGCUGAGAAAAAAAACAACUAAGCAUGUUCUCUGCUGAAUAAAUAUGUUAAUGAAGUCCCAAACAGAGCUGCAUAACAGGCAGUGAGAGAGAGCCAAGAAAAGUUUAAAUGUAUUCUAGGAUGAAUAGGUGCAACAUUAUAUAUAACAAAACUCAUGUUGCCUCUAAGCAUUAAUGAGUUUUAAGCUGCUGACAGGAACACAGAUCUCACGCUUAUUCCUGGCCUGCGCUUAACGAGACUCAGCUUAAAGGAACUCUUGCUGUGAAUUGGGUGGUUGUUUGAAUGGCUACUGUGAGGCCUCUUAUGUACACACACAGUAGCCCUCUUCAUUUUAUUUAUUUAUUUAGCUUUUCUACCCACCCUUCAGCACAAGGGCCCAAGGUGCGUCAAUGCAGUGCUGUCCAUGAAGCUUUAUAUAGUGCAUAAUUUGCUUAUAACUUGUAAGACGAAACAACCUGAAAAUAAAGUAUCUUUGAGGAAGGCAGGUAAAUGCAUUUUAAAAAAUGCUUGCAUUUAUUUUAUUUUAUAGAGAUAUGGGAAAUGAUUAAUAGAUAUAUUAAAACUAUAGACAUUCGGGCCACGAUCCAGCCAUGGUGCUGACCGUGUGCUAUUUGCAUCAUGCAUCACUCAGAGGAAACCUGCUCUUCCUAUUUGCAGCCAAAAGGGCUGUGCUUCAGUGCUGAAUGGCUGUUGCACAUGUCAGUUAAAAAGCAAACUCCCUCCCCUUGCUCAGAACAGUUUUACAAGCUCACAUCACAGCAGAAAAACUUUCCAACUGUUCCUAGUCACAGAUAUGUCUGCAUGUGGCCCGAAAGGGUCUGGUUCUAACCCUUGGGACCGAAAGAUGAUACUGAAUUUUGACACUUUUUAUAAACUCUCCCCCGUCUGCAUUGCUUUCUUUUUCAUGCAGUAGAAAUAUAAUUCAGGCUGGACCACUUUGUUAGCUCAGCCGCUUAAUGAAAAACUGCCACAAUUACUACAACAAGAAGCCUGUUUCCCUAUUCCUUGACACCAUUUUUCAUAUGCAGAGAUUUAAAAGAAGAAGCUGCUCUUGAAACCAUGACUAUUUUUCCCUAACC